rnacentral:rRNA from 1 species
CACAUGCAGUCGAACGAUGAACCACUUUCCGGUGGGGAUUAGUGGCGAACGGGUGAGUAACACGUGGGCAAUCUGCCCUGCACUCUGGGACAAGCCCUGGAAACGGGGUCUAAUACCGGAUACUGACCUUCACAGGCAUCUGUGAUGGUCGAAAGCUCCGGCGGUGCAGGAUGAGCCCGCGGCCUAUCAGCUUGUUGGUGAGGUAGUGGCUCACCAAGGCGACGACGGGUAGCCGGCCUGAGAGGGCGACCGGCCACACUGGGACUGAGACACGGCCCAGACUCCUACGGGAGGCAGCAGUGGGGAAUAUUGCACAAUGGGCGAAAGCCUGAUGCAGCGACGCCGCGUGAGGGAUGACGGCCUUCGGGUUGUAAACCUCUUUCAGCAGGGAAGAAGCGAAAGUGACGGUACCUGCAGAAGAAGCGCCGGCUAACUACGUGCCAGCAGCCGCGGUAAUACGUAGGGCGCGAGCGUUGUCCGGAAUUAUUGGGCGUAAAGAGCUCGUAGGCGGCUUGUCACGUCGGUUGUGAAAGCCCGGGGCUUAACCCCGGGUCUGCAGUCGAUACGGGCAGGCUAGAGUUCGGUAGGGGAGAUCGGAAUUCCUGGUGUAGCGGUGAAAUGCGCAGAUAUCAGGAGGAACACCGGUGGCGAAGGCGGAUCUCUGGGCCGAUACUGACGCUGAGGAGCGAAAGCGUGGGGAGCGA